CCACUUUAAACCAAUGAUAACCCCCUUAUUUAAUUAAAAAACUAAACCAUUCUUAUAGUCUAGUAAAGGAGAUUGAAAAUUUUUUAGGAGCUAUACCCCAGUACCGCAAGGGAAUGAUGAAAUAAAAAUGAAACAAAUUUUAAGCAAAGAAAAGUAGAGAUCUGCUCUCGUACCUUUUGCAUCAUGGUUUAACUAGUCAAAUCAAGCAAAAAGACUUAAAGUUUGACCUCCCGAAACUAAGUGAGCUACUUCAAGGCAGCUUUAUGAGCCAACCCGUCUCUGUAGCAAAAGAGUGGGAAGACCUUCAAGUAGGGGUGACAGACCUAUCGAACUUAGUGAUAGCUGGUUGCCUGGGAAAAGGAUUUUAGUCCAACUUAAAAUUAUUACUAUAUCUUAAAAUUUAACUUUGAUUUUAGAGCAAUUCAAGCAAGGUACAGCCUGCUUGAAACAGGAUACAACCUAAUACUGAGGGUAACCUGAUCUAAUUAGCAAUAAAGUGGGCCUAAAAGCAGCCACCUUUUAAACAGCGUCACAGCUUAAUUUCAAAGCAGAUCAAAUUAUAAAAAUACCCAUGAACCCCACUUUAGUACCAAGCAAUUCUAUACCUUUAUAGAACCUUUUAUGUUAAAACUAGUAACAAGAAGACCCCCUUCUCUUUAAUGCAAGCAUAAAUCAGUCAGGAUCAACCACUGAUAAUUAACACCCAUGAGCCCACAGUAAAAACGCCACAAGAAAACCCUACUACACUCCAUGUUAACCUAACACAAGAGCAUUACAAGAAAGAUUAAAAGAAAAAGAAGGAACUCGGCAAACAUUAACCCCGCCUGUUUACCAAAAACAUCGCCUCUUGAUAAACUUAUAAGAGGUCCAGCCUGCCCAGUGACUCUGUUCAACGGCCGCGGUAUCCUAACCGUGCGAAGGUAGCGUAAUCACUUGUUCUUUAAAUGAGGACUAGUAUGAAUGGCACCACGAAGGUUAUACUGUCUCCUUUUUCUAAUCAGUGAAACUAAUCUUCCCGUGAAGAAGCGGGAAUAAAAAUAUAAGACGAGAAGACCCUAUGGAGCUUUAAACAAAUAUACACCUGCCUUACCACCAAAAAAAUUUCAGCAAACAAAUAAUUACCCAGGCAUUUUGAUAUAGCGUUUUAGGUUGGGGUGACCACGGAGCAAAAAACAACCUCCGCAACGAACGGGAAAUCUUUCCCUAAACCAAGGGCCACGACCCCAAGUAUCGAUAAAUCGACACUAAUUGACCCAAUAAAUUUGAUCAAUGAACCAAGUUACCCUAGGGAUAACAGCGCAAUCCACUUCAAGAGCCCCUAUCGACAAGUGGGUUUACGACCUCGAUGUUGGAUCAGGGUAUCCCAGUGGUGCAGCCGCUACUAACGGUUCGUUUGUUCAACGAUUAAAACCCU
rnacentral:rRNA from 1 species